UAUUAAUCACGUGCCAGCAGCUGCGGUAAUACGUAGGGUGCAAGCGUUAAUCGGAAUUACUGGGCGUAAAGCGUGCGCAGGCGGUUCGGAAAGAAAGAUGUGCUGUGAAAUCCCAGAGCUUAACUUUGGAACUGCAUUUUUAACUACCGAGCUAGAGUGUGUCAGAGGGAGGUGGAAUUCCGCGUGUAGCAGUGAAAUGCGUAGAUAUGCGGAGGAACACUGAUGGCGAAGGCAGCCUCCCUGGGAUAACACUGACGCUCAUGCACGAAAGCGUGGGGAGCAAACAGGAUUAGAUACCCUGGUAGUCCACGCCCUAAACGAUGUCAACUAGCUGUUGGGGCCUUCGGGCUCGGUAGCGCAGCUAACGCGUGAAGUUGACCGCCUGGGGAGUACGGUCGCAAGAUUGGAAACUCAAAGGAAUUGACGGGGACCCGCACAAGCGGUGGAUGAUGAUUAAUCUGAUGCAACGCGAAAAACUCUUACCUACCUUGACAUGUCUGGAAUCCCGAAGAGAUUUGGGGAGUGCUCGCAAGAGAACCGAACACAGGUGCUGCAUGGCUGUCGUCAGCUCGUGUCGUGAGAUGCUGGGUUAAGUCCCGCAACGAGGCAACCCUUGUCAUUAGUUGCUACGAAAGGGCACUUAAUGAGACUGCCGGUGACAAACCGGAGGAAGGUGGGGAUGACGUCAAGUCCUCAUGGCCCUUAUGGGUAGGGCUUCGACGUCAUACAAUGGUCGGGACAGAGGGUCGCCAACCCGCGAGGGGGAGCCAAUCCCAGAAACCCGAUCGUAGUCCGGAUCGCAGUCUGCAACUCGACUGCGUGAAGUCGGAAUCGCUAGUAAUCGCGGAUCAGCAUGUCGCGGUGAAUACGUUCCCGGGUCUUGUACACACCGCCCGUCACACCAUGGGAGUGGGUUUACCAGAAGUAGUUAGCCUAACCGUAAGGAGGGCGAUUACCACGGUAGGAUUCAUGACUGGGUGAAGUCGUAACAAGGUAG
rnacentral:misc_RNA from 1 species